rnacentral:rRNA from 1 species
CAGUAGCCGCGGUAAAACGAAGGGGGCUAGCGUUGUUCGGAAUCACUGGGCGUAAAGCGUGCGCAGGCGGUUUGUUAAGACAGAUGUGAAAUCCCCGGGCUCAACCUGGGAACUGCAUUUGUGACUGGCAGGCUAGAGUAUGGCAGAGGGGGGUGGAAUUCCGCGUGUAGCAGUGAAAUGCGUAGAUAUGCGGAGGAACACCGAUGGCGAAGGCAGCCCCCUGGGCCAAUACUGACGCUCAUGCACGAAAGCGUGGGGAGCAAACAGGAUUAGAUACCCCGGUAGUCCCUGUCUCUUAUAC